CGCAGCUCUAUGUAUAUCUAGCAAAAUGUAUCUAAUUUUGUCAAAAAUUGGGACUUUUAAGAGAACAUUAGUGAAAAGGGGGAUUAGAAUUUAGAUUACCUAAAUCCCCGCCUCCAUCUGCAAACAUUAGCUUGUUUGUUGAAUUAACCUGCAGAAGAUGAUAAAUCAAAGGAUGUAAAACUGGGAUGAACAUUGUAUUUGCAUUCAUCAAUUGCUCCACUGCGCAUCACCUAUUACUUGAACA
rnacentral:misc_RNA from 1 species